rnacentral:rRNA from 1 species
GACGAACGCUGGCGGCGUGCCUAAUACAUGCCAGUAGAACGCUGAAGGAGGAGCUUGCUUCUCUGGAUGAGUUGCGAACGGGUGAGUAACGCGUAGGUAACCUGCCUGGUAGCGGGGGAUAACUAUUGGAAACGAUAGCUAAUACCGCAUAAGAGUAGAUGUCGCAUGACAUUUGCUUAAAAGGUGCAAUUGCAUCACUACCAGAUGGACCUGCGUUGUAUUAGCUAGUUGGUGAGGUAACGGCUCACCAAGGCAACGAUACAUAGCCGACCUGAGAGGGUGAUCGGCCACACUGGGACUGAGACACGGCCCAGACUCCUACGGGAGGCAGCAGUAGGGAAUCUUCGGCAAUGGACGGAAGUCUGACCGAGCAACGCCGCGUGAGUGAAGAAGGUUCUCGGAUCGUAAAGCUCUGUUGUAAGAGAAGAACGAGUGUGAGAGUGGAAAGUUCACACUGUGACGGUAUCUUACCAGAAAGGGACGGCUAACUACGUG